rnacentral:ncRNA from 1 species
ACUUUCGAAUAUCAAAAGUUAGUUGGGAAGUUCAAAGAACGACUGCUUUCCAGGAAGAUCUGACGGUGUUUGCAGAGCUGCGCACUACCUUGAAGAACAGAAAUAGCCGGGAGGCUGGAAAGCUGUGUGGAUUCGAAAAAGUGCCUUCAUUAAAAGUAAUUGAAUGCUCCCUGCCUGCAUGUGCUGCUGCUGCUUCCAUUUGCCCAUUUGAAAUGUGACCCAGAGCAAGCAGCAGCAGCAUGUGUGAUAAGUUUCACACAAAGCUAAAUAUUGGAGUGAGACCGAAAGUGAACAAGUACUGUGAAGGAAAGAUGAAAAGGACUUUGGAAAGAGAGCUGCCCCCUGCCUGCUGCAG